rnacentral:rRNA from 1 species
GGAAUAUUGGGCAAUGGAGGCAACUCUGACCCAGCAACGCCGCGUGAAUGAAGAAGGCCUUCGGGUUGUAAAGUUCUUUAAUGGGGGACGAAGAAAGUGACGGUACCCCAAGAAUAAGCCACGGCUAACUACGUGCCAGCAGCCGCGGUAAUACGUAGGUGGCAAGCGUUGUCCGGAAUGACUGGGCGUAAAGGGAGCGUAGGCGGCGCGGUAAGUUAGGAGUGACAUCCCGGGGCUCAACCCCGGAACUGCUUUUAAAACUGCCGUGCUUGAGUGAUGGAGAGGAAAGCGGAAUUCCUAGUGUAGCGGUGGAAUGCGUAGAUAUUAGGAGGAACACCAGAGGCGAAGGCGGCUUUCUGGACAUUAACUGACGCUGAGGCUCGAAAGCGUGGGGAGCAAAC